CUGACUGGAGUGUGGCUCGGCUCCUCUCACAUGGCCACAUUUCCAGCCUGUCCACAUGUUUACUCUGCUCCACCGGAGGAGACUCCAGGCUAGCAUUAGCUCGUCCGCCAGGAAGCGUCCACACGAGAACGGUUCUUACAGCCGUACGCCGAGCACGUCUGGACCAUGCUUGCUGCCCGGACAACGCUCACUGACGCCCGGACUGCUGGCUCCACGAAGCUCCGCUGGUUCUCCUCGUCUCCCUCCGCACGGGCUUCACUGCCACCAACAAUGAUGGCGGCGGAGGCUGCGUCACCUGACCUUUGUUCUCUAGUCUGAUUGGCCGAGCCCGCUUCCUGCAGUACCGCAGUGUGUCCAGCAGGGGAGGGAGAAUUGGACUGAGCUGAUGUUUUAAUUUACUUUACAAACAUCAAAUUAACUUUUUGCAUAAAUGUAAUUAAAUAUUCAAAAUGUUUUCAUAUAAAUAGCAUGUCAUAAAAGCUAAAA